GCAAGUCGAGGGGUAGCAGGGAGCUUGCUCCGCUGACGACCGGCGCACGGGUGCGUAACGCGUAUAGAACUUACCUUUUACAGGGGGAUAGCCUUUAGAAAUGAAGAUUAAUAUCCCAUAGUAUUGCGAAAUGGCAUCAUUUUGUAAUUAAAGAUUUAUCGGUAAAAGAUGGCUAUGCGUCCUAUUAGCUAGAUGGUAAGGUAACGGCUUACCAUGGCAACGAUAGGUAGGGGUCCUGAGAGGGAGAUC
rnacentral:rRNA from 1 species